rnacentral:lncRNA from 1 species
UUCAAUAGAUUUUGGUCUCUUUGAACUGUAGAAAAGCUUUGAUUAGGCCUCCUUGACUGCAACAGCCUCUUUGACCUCGGCGGCGGCUUCACUGCUCUUCUCCUUGACAGGUUCUUCCUUGGCAGGUUCCACUUCCUCUGGGACUACAAAAGCUGAGACUGGGAAAGUCCUGGAAAGUGUGGUUGGGGACUUAAACGUGAUCUUCUCCUUUUCCUCUGUAUAGAUCUCACUGACACUGACCCAAAUAAGAAGCUCCUUGGCCUUGACUCCAGUGAGCUUCUUGAUCUUACCCGUCUGAACCACGGCCGUGACCUCGGUUCCGUAGGAGACAAGCUUAUCGAUCGUUUCGAACUUGUGGGUGAUGCUCUGUUUCUGCUUCAGCCACACGACACCUGACUCUCUGUCGUACCCAACCUCUUCAAUGGUAGUAAACCAUUGGGCAUAGAUAUUUCUUUGAGGAAGACUUUUGUCUUCUCUCGGCAUAUCUCAUCUCCGGUGUACUUCUCUGCCUUAGCUCUCACCUCCUCUGUGACCAAACCCAUCUCUGCUCUGUUUUUUUAGUUUAGGGAAUUUGCGAUAGAUGGCUAUAAAACAAACUAUAAUUAGCUAUAUAGCCAUGGUACUGUUUCUUUUUCAUAAUACCCGUUAUAUCCCUAUUUCCUUGUAUGCCAACCUAUAGUCUAGCAACCGGAUAACCUGAAUGUAGACAAAUAAUUUUUAAUAUAUUAACAAAUAUUAAAAGAAAAGAACAAAAAUAAAAUCUCUCACAACGCUUUCUUCGUUAUUCUCUACCUCUUUCCAUCUUUCACUGAUUUGAUCUUCUUGUUCUUCUUCUUAUUUUCAGUUGAAGUUUUAAUUAAUCAAAUCAUUUCGUUUCAGGCUUCUUUGACUUCGAUAAUGAAAAGAACACAAAACUGAUCCCCAAAUCUCCAGAAAAUUUCUGACCAACAAAACUGAUAAUUUUUUCAACAAAUCCUUUCUUUUUGUGAUAUGGUGGAUGUAGAGGUGCUUUGUUUCGUCUUGGUUUUGCUGGAGCAAGCAACAACUUCUUCUACCUCUGAUCGGAGCUUCUAGAUAUGAGCUUCUCGUAGGCGCUCCGGCUUCUCUCCUCUCUGCAAAUCGACGGGCUGUGGUGGCCAAUACUCUCUCUUAAAAGUUGUUUGGUCUGGUGGCAUGUGUUGUGAAGGGAAAUAGUUCGCUUAUGGUGAGGUCGAUUUCAGAUCUGGAGAUCCUUGUUCAUGGCUGGAGACUAUGGUUUGCCUUUUUCUUCUGUUGUUUUCAUGCUGUACGUAUGGAGUGAUCUCAACACUGCCUCAUCCUCUAGCCUGUGUUUCGCUGUUGCUUGGGUGUGAGCUUUCCAACUCUGCUUCUCUAGUUAGUUGAAGUUUCGCUUAGGAACGGAUGUUCUUCUUAGGUAAGCUCUCGGGGCUUCCUCCUCUUGCCGUCGAUGUCCUCCCGGCUUUGUGUUCUCCAUAGUCUUAUUUAGGCUCUCAAUCCGUGGUUGCCAGUUAGUGGUUGGGAGUUUGAGGUUUUGUUGGGGUGGUUCUUUGGUGCUCCGUGGGUUGAAGUUCUCUGUUUUAAUGAUCCUUCCAGUUGUUGCUGACUUGCUGGUGUGCUCUUUUGACCUUGCUGCUUCGCUAGAUUAGUCUGUUUCUUGGCUUGAAGGUUAAGCAAGUGGUGGUUUUAUCUUUGCUCGUUGAUGCAUGGAUCAUUGUCUUAGGUUCUUUGAUUUAUUGAUUUCUUUUUGACUUUGUCUUUGUGUCUCUUAGAGUUGUUUGGUUAUCUAGAAUGAGCUUGCUUGUUAUGCUCUGUUUUUCAUGUCUUUCUAGUCUCCCAUUUGUGGGCUUUUAGACUCAGGGGAUGAGUUUCUUCUAUCCUCCUGCUGUAUGUCUCUCGAUCUUGUAUUCCUCAUUGAUAUGGUAACGAAAAUUAAUUUUCAAUGUGAAAAAAAAAUUGAUAAUUAAUCAAGUAUUGUUUAUUUAUUCAAAUUAUUGUCAAGUAAAUUUUAAGAUGUUGAUAUUUUGUGUCGUGAAAUUUUUCUGUUUAUGUUUAGGUCAACAUGCAAAAUAAACGGUUUAAAACCUGGUGGAGAUAUAUGACACAUUGACACCCAUCUAUCUACCCACUUGCUUUUGAACCUAUCAUACGUCAAAACCCAAAGGAAUCUCUUAUCUUCUCAAGUAGCUGGUAGCAGGACUACCCAAAUAGGCUUGUCAAAUCUUGUCGAGGCCAUAAGGGUCAUUUUACGAUGAUGAAUUUUCGUGUUCGCAAAUUAAUAAAAAAAAAUGCACACUUGUGCAAUAUCUUUCUCCAAUUUGUAUAUUGAGCUAAUUGACCCUUUAGUUUAAGCUUUACCGCAAAGCUGAAGUUGUGUGUUGUGAUAAGAGGCGACUUAACCUUGUUAUAUAUAGGUUGUGUGGUAUGCGGUGCAUGUAAAAUGCAUUAACGGGCAUGGUUGAGCAGGUUAUGGGUGACUAUAGCAAUCAUCAACACACAACAAUUAUUGUUGUGAACAAUGUAACCUGAAAACGAGAUAUUGCAGCCAAUAUUCCUCCACAUGUGAGAUUAUGUUAUAGUAUUAUUAAUUAUUUGUGAAGUCAGUAGAUAACACUUCAUUGUCAAGAAACUGUAUUUUGUUUACAUUAUGGCAAUAGCAAGUUGUUCACAUUAUAUUUAGAGGUUCUUCUUAUAGCUAAACAUAUGAUAACUCGAAUUAAAUUUUCAAUUGACCAAAAGUUGAGAUGAUGUUGAAACCCUAGGAAUAUCUUUCAAUUUUCCGAUGAUAAAAUCUUCCUCUAAUUCAGGAUCUAAAAUGGGGUUGAGGGAGAUUGUCACAGUCUUUAAACACUUAGAAUUGGCUAGGAUGUAUGUCAAGAAUUCUUCCUCUUCUUCUCCGUGUCCAUAGUAUCUCCAUUCAAAUAUUUUUAGAUGUGACGACAAGCAUCCAGGAAUAGAACUUGGUUGAUUCCAUGAAAGUGGGACAUCCUCGGGUUCAGAGGCAAAUUCCUGUGAAGCAAUGGUGCAUGGCCGUAUGUUAAAAAAAAAGUAACUACUAUUUACCAAAGCUUGAAGAAAAGGAGGGUACGUACAUUAUUAACUACAAGUUCUUCAAGUUUCGGAGUAUUUCCAAGUAAAAGUAAGAGUGGUUCCACGCAGUUUGAUCUACUUGGAUCUACAGAUAACCUAAGAAGUCGAGAAAAUCUUAGGGUGCUACAACGAACAAGCUGUGACAAAACAAACAACAACUUAUAAGUAGAUGCAACAAUGUAAAUCACAACAAGCAAUCAAUAUAUAUAGAUAAACUGAGCUACCAUUUCAUCUUCGAAAGUCAAGACAAGAGACAAGAUCGCCGAAGAAGCUGUUAUGAUCUUGUCAAAAAGAGAUAAACAGUCGACACUAAUAUGUGCCUCCUCAAGACAAGGCAUAUUCCCGAUCGACCAAGAGUGUCUUGAAUAAUCAGUGACGUUAAACUUUAUUAAUGCCGGAGUAUCUAUAACCAAACAACUACCGCUAUCCACUACAUCAGUGUCAUCUAGCAGCCAUGUUGUAUUAUAAUACCAUAACAUCCAUAGAGUAGGAACUUUCACAAUAAAGUUUGUCAGAUUAUCACUCUUCUUUCUUUUCACGAUCAAUAUUCCAAGGACAGGGCAACUAGAUAAGAACCUAGCGAAAGUAUCCUCGUCUUUAUAUACCACACAGGAAAGUUGAAGUAUUUCAAGUGAUGGAAGGCAGGAAGGGGAAGAAGAAGAAGGGAAAUCAACAAGAACCUUGUUAGAUAGAGUCAAUUCUUUGAGUGUUUCGCAGGUGUAAAGGCUCUUAGGCAAUGUGGUUGGACCUGCGGACCAGCGAAGCUUGAAUUUUACCACGACCACACCGCGAUCAACAGCCUUUUCAACCCAAUUUCCGACAUUAGCAUCACUAGGACAUCGUCGACCAAGACUAAUAAGCAAUAUUUCUAAGACAGGUGCUUUGUGAAGUUUCAGUGACUUGUCCAAAAACCACCAAAUGCUCUUGCUUUCAAGAUCAUCAUCACCAUCAUCAUUAUCAUCACCACCCCAAUCACGAGCUUGGUUGACAUCAUUGGUUUCAUUGUAAUCAAGGCUAGGCAACAUCAUCCAUAUAUAGCGCCACCUUUUGGACAAAAUCAUGGUGGCUACUGCUUCUUUAAUCGGGACAAGCAACAAAAUCGUCACAAGCAACUCUUCGGGCAAAGCACUGAUCCUGUCUUCACAGUUUAUCUCUUCAAUUUUGGCUUCCGACAUCUUCACGAGGAAAACCCAAGAAUUAAGGAUUCGAAGUAACAAGCAACACAACAAAAUCGUUAUGACCAAAAUAAUAGGAUUGACGUAGCUUAUCUAGCCUAUAUAAAGGAGUUAUAUAAUGAUUUGCAUUCAUUCAUCAGGUUGUGUUUAUAUACAACUAGUUCCUACAUAAAUAAGAAAGAAAUAUAGGCGAUGAAAAAGAAAGAAAUAUUAAUCUCAUCAUGUUUAUUUAGUUUUUUUUUUUUUGACAUCCAUCAUGUUUAUUUAGUUACUCAUUAAUAGAAUUGAUACAUUUGGCACUAAGGUAAUUAUUAUUUUUUGUUCAAAUUAAGAUAAUUAUCUUUUGCAUGUAGCAAAAACUAAUAGGUAUCAAAUAAAAUUAAACUGUGAACUAAAAUAUAUUUAUGUUAAAAGAUAUAUAGUACUAUCUUGAAUAAGAAAAUUUAUUUAGUUUUUUUUUUUUUGACAUCCAUCAUGUUUAUUUAGUUACUCAUUAAUAAAAUUGAUACAUUUGGCACUAAGGUAAUUAUUAUUUUUUGUUCAAAUUAAGAUAAUUAUCUUUUGCAUGUAGCAAAAACUAAUAGGUAUCAAAUAAAAUUAAACUGUGAACUAAAAUAUAUUUAUGUUAAAAGAUAUAUAGUACUAUCUUGAAUAAGAAAAAAAUCUGUUUUUUUAAUCAAUUAAUUCAAAAAUUUAUUAAUAUUAAGAGAAAAGAAAUUAUAAUAAUUAUUUAUAUAUAUAUCAUCACAAAAUAUAUAUUUUUAUAAAAAUCAUACAAUAGCUAUUUACUGUGAAAAGUAUAAAUUUCUAUAAAUAUAAUUAUACAAUAAAUUACUAAUAUUAUAUAAAAUAAAAUAUAUUUUUUGUAAAAGAAUAUACUUCCAAAAAGUUGUUUAAUUUAUUUCUUUUUUGACUUUUAACAAUAAAUUGUCCCUAUGUUUAUUUUAAUAUUUAUGGCAUGUAAUGUAAUAAUAUAUAUAGUAGAAUUUAUUAUGCUAAUGUAGAAUUUAAGUAAGUAUCCUAUAAAUUUAAUUUGAAAAUUCACAAAAAAAAAUAUAAUAUUGUAUUUUUAUAUUAUAUUAAUAUUUUUAUAUAAAAAUACAUAUUUUAUAUUGGGCCUAAUGGGCUAUAAAGGACACUCAGUUGGGCCUAUGGAUUAGAAUUAAAACGCUAAGAAAACACGCGCAAGAGUUUGAAGAUCUGGAGAAAAAAUUUCUGGGAAAAUUCUGUGUUUCUCGGAGGGAAGAUCCGUAUAUUCCAUAUCCGAAAGGUGUUUCGUUAUUCUUCUGAUCGGCGUCGGGUUGAUCCAGUUGGAUAAUUCGAAAGAUGGAUCCUAACCAGGUGAGAAUGAUUAAUUUCUGAGCUCGAUUGCUUAUCAGAUUCUCGAUUCGCCUCGAUUAGCUGCUCGAUCUGGACGUGAUUGUGUUAGAUCUGUGCUCUUCGUAUUCGUAUUAGAACUUGGAAGGCUUGAGCUAGAUAGAAAUGCUAGGUUAAGAAUCGGUUUAAUCGCGAUAAUGCGUAGCGAGAUUAGACUCAGAUGUGAUUAUUCUCGUUUGUUAAUUCAAUGCAGGCACCAGUUGAAAACUAUGCGAAUCCGAAGACGUGUCUCUUCCAUGUUCUCUUCAAGGUAUGAGGAGCCUGAGUAUGAGUCUUUUUAGACUUUUUUAUAAGUGAGGUGGAGAAUGGUAACAUGUUUGUUUGUUUUUGGGGGCAGGGUGCUGCGUUGGCGUUUUACAUUCUAUCGGCUCUCUUCUUCAACAGCUUUGUAAUCAUCUUUGUGGUGACUGUUCUUCUUGCGGCGCUUGACUUCUGGGUGGUUAAGAAUGUGAGUGGGCGUAUACUUGUUGGUCUCAGGUGGUGGAACGAGAUCAAUGACUUGGGUGAAAGUGUCUGGAAGUUUGAGUCUCUUGACCAGGAGGUUACCCGCCUUUUUUGCUUAAUAUUUUUACUUUAUUCAAUAGACUUUUUGAAUACUGAUUCAUUUCGUUUGUGUGCCUGUGUCAGUCCUUGGCUCGGAUGAACAAGAAAGACUCGUGGCUUUUCUGGUGGACGCUUUACCUUGCAGUGAGUAGUUCCUAUCUUUGACUACAGUUUGUAGCGUAUGCGUAUAUGACUUAAACCUGUUUGCAAUGCACCUGAAGCUUUAGUUGAGCAUUAGGAGUAAAAAUAGGCAAGAAUGAGCGAAUGGUAAUCAAAUGUUUUGUUACGGUGAUGUAUAAGAAUUUCAGAGCAGUCUUAUAGUAUCGUAUAUUGGCCAUAUAUAGAUGGCUGAGUUUUCUCACCCCACCGACAAGCUGCCGUUUAAAUGAUUUUUAUCUAAGAGUUUGUGAGAAAUGGUUCUCCUUGUGAGUGGAAUCACAUGCAGAUCACAUUGCAAAAUAGGCAAAUUAGGGAGAAGAAAGUUGGCCAUGUUAUUGUGCAUGUUGAAGUUGCAUUAGUAUAUCCUAUGAUCCUGCAUUAUCAGGUUGACUAAUACUUGGUAGCUUAAAAACCUAUAGGCUCAGUUGCAUUACAAGCGACCAAUAGAGAGUAAGAAUGAGCCUUGAGAUGGUGAUAGCAAUGGGUUUAGUGUCUAGAGUCAGCAAUUACAAACUCGUGAAUAUAUUAUGCUGUCUUUUACCGGAGCUGAAUCUUGUUUUUUUUUGUUUGUCAUUUCUUCAGGCAGCUGCGUGGUUAGUCCUUGGGAUAUUUUCACUGAUAAGGUUUCAGGCCGACUAUCUUCUUGUUGUCGGCGUUUGCUUGUCCCUCAACGUGGCUAAUAUCAUCGGCUUCACAAAGUGCAAGAAAGGUAAGAUCCAUUCCAGUAUAGCUCUUAUAAUAGUCAAAUGGGCUAUAGAUCAUUAGACUUAACACUUUUUAUUUGUUGGCAGAUGCAAAGAAACAGUUUCAGCAGUUUGCCUCACAGACAAUCGCAUCGCGGUUCCAGUCCACGGUACAAUCUGCCUUCACCCUUGUCUGAAAAGAAGAAAAGGUUUUAGUGAGAGCAAAGACAGUUGUACAAAGAAGAUUUGCCAUAAGCAAACAACAUGUUUUUUUGACUGAUUCGUUUUCUCAAUAUACUAUUUUGUAAGGGAUUAAGAAAGAGAUUUAUUAUAUUAUGUCUUCUUACAUGUAUUUUCAUUUUCGACUUACCUUGUUUAAGAAACUUUUUGAGGUUGUAAAACAUUUUGAAAAGAUCUCGAUGUAGCUUUCACUUUAUAGCUUGCUAAUAUGUUUCCAGUGUUCUUGAAGUCACAUACAGAACCAACUUCAAUGUAGUCUAUAGAUAAUUACGGUACUUUUUGUAUAACAGGAUGAUGUUAUUGACAUCUUAUUACAUAUAAAACAUGCAGAAACGAGGGGUAGGUAAUACAUGAGAGUAAGAGCAGUGAGAAACACUAACUCUCAAUAGUCUGUUUACAUUGUUGAAGUACACUUCAAUAGAUUUUGGUCUCUUUUAACUGUAGAAAAGCUUUGAUUAGGCCUCCUUGACUGCAACAGCCUCUUUGACCUCGGCGGCGGCUUCACUGCUCUUCUCCUUGGCAGGUUCUUCCUUGGCAGGUUCCACUUCCUCUGGGACUACAAAAGCUGAGACUGGGAAAGUCCUGGAAAGUGUGGUUGGGGUCUUAAACGUGAUCUUCUCCUUUUCCUCUGUAUAGAUCUCACUGACACUGACCCAGAUAAGAAGCUCCUUGGCCUUGACUCCAGUG